ACCGCCUCGCUGUCCUCGCCGGCGAGGGGAUAAGGGCGACAACGAGGCCGACCCCUCGGGCUCCCAUGCCACUCCAAUCGUCCCACUCCCUCUGGACGCUCUCUCUCCCUGGUUACCCCCUCUCUCUCGCGCGCGAUAUCCCACUCCCAUCGAGCGCCAUCACCGCCGUACUUCCGUCGAUCCCGCGGCCACCGGCGGCCCCGAGGCCACCGGCCUUGUCCGUCUGCUCCGCCGUCAUCAUCCACGUCGCCUGGGGUCCUCCGUUGGAGCCGAGGGCCCCUUCAGCUGCCGAUCGCAGUCGUCCCCUUUCGCCUCUGUCUCCGACGCUCGCCGGCGACCUCGAGCACCCAUGCUGCUACUAAUCCAAUCGCCGACCUCCUUGCGCCGCUCGAUGGUGGAGCCCAGGAUCCAAACGACCCCACCGACGACUACUACUACCCCGAGGGUGCCUACUACUAUGUGGAGACCACUGACGACCAGGAGUAGUUAGGAGGAUCCCAGGCAGGAGGCCUUGCCUUUUCGAUCGAUAUUGCUUUUGUGCCAGCCUUCUUAAGGCAAACUUGUCUAACUUAUGUCUGUACCUAGAUAUUAUUGCUUCCACUGACUCUUGUGUUUUCAAGCUUUUGUAUUCGAGCCCUCGAGGCCCCUGGCUUGUAAUGUAAAGCCUGUAUUAUUUUUAUU